rfam:Edwardsiella ictaluri 93-146, complete genome.
CGGAGGGAGUGAGCCAAAAAAGAGUGAGCCGGCGGCACUGCAGCGUGCGCAGCCGGCCUCU